UUUCACUCAGGCAGAAAAAAGCCUGCAACCAGCAAAAAAAGAAAAGAAAAUCCCUGGUGACGGUAGCUGGGCCUCUUUGCCAUCUCGGGCUGCACGUGGUGGGGGUGGCGGGGGGGGGGGGAGGGGGGGAACCCGGAGCUUCGGAGAGUGGGGUGGGGUCUGUCACCCCGUACUGCAGGGAGGGGCCUCGGAGGCCCUGGCGCGCCGCCAAACCCUGGGGAAGCGGAGAGCCUGGGAGGUCUGAUCCACCAUUUGUUUCCUGGGGAAGGAAGAGCGCAGAUGGGCGACAGCGACAGGCGGGCGGGCUGCAGCCUUCGCGGCUCUUGCCGGAGCCCCCCAAGUCCUGAGCUCCGGAAGUGGGGGCUGGUCACUGGGCAUCUGGUGCGGGUCCUGCCCACGCGCGUUGACAGACUCCAGCCCAAGUUUCUCAAAUGCCCUACACACUCCCUGGGGUUCUCCACUGGAAUUAUUUAAAAAGGAGCACCCCCCACCCCAACAACAUCUAUUGGAGAGUUUGUGCUUCUGCGCCCGGUAUGACGGGCGGCUACUCCUAGUCAGUUGGUGUAGGCACAUCCGGCUGCCCUCCCUUAGCUUGCCCGCUUUGAGGAAGACAACAGGCGUCCUACUCCCCCUCUGGGGCCCACCACCAGGCUUUUUGCGGGUGAACAGUCAAAACUUCCUUUUGCUCGGAUCCUUUGCCAUUGAACGUCAAUUAUUUGAAGGACUGGGAAAUCAGCUUCUUAAAUAUUUUAAUGCAUUGGAACUAUACUUUGACGCCAAGGAAGUGGCACAAAGCCUGGGUGUAAUGUACAAUUUUAAUUGUUUCAUGCUAAACAGAAGGGAACAGAAGCCUAGUUGGAUCCUUGGAGGAGGCACAGAGGCUGACAGUGGGCCAGGUGCCUGUCUUCCAGCUUGGAAGAAUGAGGUUUCCUGAUGGGUCUGAUGUGGGAAAGAAAGGCAGAAGGAAAUGCAGAUAAAAUUAAAUGUCCUUAUAACCUGCUGCCCAUUAACAAAUACUUGAGAUAGGCAGAAUAUAACCUUCCUCCAGGAAGCUCCUUACUGUCUUAAUGUUAAUGACUUGCUAGAGGGAAAAGCAACCUUAGCUUGACAAUCCAAGGCCUCUGGUAGCCUGUGAGUCUUUGGCACCUGAAAAUCCUUUUGGAACUUCCAUUAUCUUGACUUCUACCAGCCCCACAGUAUAUAAUCUUGUUGCUCCUUACAAUCCCAGGGCAGUAGCUCCUUCUGCCCAUGGCUUCUGUCCCCACGCUUUAAUAAAACCACCUUUUUGCACCAAAGAUGUCUCAAGAAUUCUUUCUUGGCUGUGGGCCCCAGAUCUUACCAGCACCAGGCCUCCAAAAGCUACAACGAAUGGUCCAGUGGAGUGAGAUGGUGGGAGAAGGAAAUCAUCAGCCCCACACAGCAGCUCAGGAAUGAGGAGCUCUCUGGCAAUCAGCACAAUGGGUCCCUUGCUAGAGCAUAAAUUGGGCCAUUAUUGUCUUUGGUGAACACACUUGUAGUCAGUAAAAACAAUGAAGAUAACUCUGACCGUGGUUCAAGGGAUGGCUCAUCAAGAUCAAAAUCAAAAGACAAUGACACCGGAAACAUAAAACAUGUAAAAACUUUACUCUGCUACUGUUAAAUCCCAAUGUCAGCCAUUGGAUUUCAGCCAUACCUCAUCAGUUGCAUUCAUUAAAUGUUGUUAAUUUGGAUUUUCUUGGUUUCACAGUUGUGUGUCUGUUUCCUUAGAUUUGUUGGGCUUUAUGGUUGAUUUGUAGAGCUGUGAGCUU